ACUCAGGUAGCUUAAUUGAAGCAUCGGUCUUGUAAACCGAAGAUUGGGAGAUUAUACCUCCCCCUAAGUA
rnacentral:tRNA from 1 species